CUAUUACUUACCCGUAUAUGUAUGGAUAUAGAACCUCUAAAAUAAAUCACACUUAAGUUUUUCACGGUGGUUAAGGCAAGAUGAUUUAUUUAAGCGCAGACAGCGGCUUUGAUAAACAAUAAACUAUUUUAAAAUGUCAGCACCCUCUAAAAUUAUGAACAAUUUCCGCCUGUGAUAAUUUGGGUAUCAAAUUGAAAAAAUUAUUGUAAUAAAAGUCGAACGAUUUUAUAUAAUGUAAAUGAUGUAAAAAAAAAAAAAAAAACAGGAAAAAUCGACGAAGAAAAUCGCUGGUUCGUGAUAAAUGGAUUACCCAGUAUUCACGAAUAUCACGUACAUUGUAGACUAUCUCAAAACCGAAACGACAAUACUAUUCUGAUUUCGAGAUUUUUCGAUAAGUACGUACGUCUUGGGCGAGAUAAAUAAUUUCUCCUCGUAAUGCCAGCGACGGUUUUAAUAUAAUAUUACGUUAUCCAAUAUCAUAGUUCGACAUGCAUCACCUCGCGCAACGUCACGAACCUAGUGAUCCGCGGGGGCACGAUGAUGGGUGCGUCGUGUGCAUACCUGUAAGUGCUAUUCGGUCGAUUAAUAAUUUUUACUUUGCUCGGCCAUUAAAAAUUUAUUUUAAUACACAUGUAUAAAUUAUUUUACAGUCAAAUACGAUCGGAAUGGCGACCGACCCGAUAGCGUAUUUACAGACGUUUACAAUGUGUGUACGAGUUGAUUUUAGGAAGUUUUAAAACAGUUUUACAAGGCAUUUUCUACUUGCUGGACCAAAUCUGGUAAUGCUGGAAGUUAGAGUUCUAAGUGCGAAACUAUAACCUACACUAGUUAUUCUUUGACGAAAAGCCACCUCAGAUUUGGAUAAAGCAGCGGGAAAACGGAAAAACAUAACCGAAUACCUUGCACCUUUAAAACAAGACCACCAUAGCUCGAAAUUCGGCAUUUUCGACAUAUCAGUAAAAUCGCAAAAAUAUUCUCUAAAAAAAAAUUAGACCUCCACAACGGAAUAUACUAGUAUUAUCUACGACGCCACAGUAGUGUGUAUUUUUAACUUGUUUUCCUUUUAAUGAAAGCAAUACUAUCACGUUUUUCAAUAUCGUUGUAUUGUUUUGCGAUAAAUUACAUUUUAAUGAUAUUCUGAAAAUUCAAAACUGCCACGAUUACCAUUUACGGAGUUUACAGUUAAUUUGUUAGUACUAAUAUUAAUAAUGACGACUUUCCAUUAAAUAAAAUGUAAUACAGCCCCGAAUCAAAUUAUGGCGGCCGCACUCCGCUAGAGUUUAAAACGAAAAUCCAUCAUAAUUAGUACAUGCAUUUUAGUGCACUUAAAAUCCACAAAAAAACAUUUAUAAACGCCAAAAAAGCUCUAAAACUCACUUAAAAAUAUUUAAAAGAGCAAUAAAGGAGUUUAAAAGUUUCCCCUUAUCUGGUUUCUAACUUAUUAGAAAUAAUUUUUUAAC